UUUUUGUUUCUGAUCAUCGUUUUUGUUUGCCCGGGCUUUUAUGGAUGCAUUGGUUGCCCUGUGCAACCUCUCCGCCAGUCGUUUUGGAGUCCGUGUUCUUCGAUCGAAUCCUCUCACACAAAUGAAUCCUACAAAACAAUAGGGUAUCUGCAAGAAAUUCGUUCAUAUAUUUUGGUAGUUUUGCAAAUUAGUCAAAUAAUAACUGGUUAGUUUGCUUUUUCACUUACCAAAAUUGUUCCACGGACUGCUCCACUAUUUUGUUCCCUGAUAAUGUUGCAUGAUGAACAUGAUCCCUCGGUACAAAUUUCUCCCGUUUCUCGGUACACGCAUCUUGUAUUCGGUGGCUCACAUGAAUCUACAGUUUCACCUGAAAACAUUGAUUUUUACAUCUUAAGCGCUGGAUAUCCCUAAUCAUUGGAAAUUGGACUUGUAUCCCUAAUAAAAUUGACGUAUUGAGAUUUGCACGUUUACAGAUUACAGAUUUCAUAUAUGUAUAUGAAUAGAUUACAUUGUGCAGCAAGCAGUACCUGGUGAUAAUAUACACAAAAGGCGUUCUAUAUGCUUUAGUUUGCGCAACGGGGCAGAAGCGACUCUUGUGUGCAAAGGAACCAAAGCUUUAGUGAUGGUAUCGUCCACGCAGUUCAGUGAAGUUGUUGUAAACUGUCCGGAGCUAAGUCUGAUUAUAGGAACAUCAUCAGAAUCAUACUCAUAUAAAUCUUCAAUAUCUGUCAAUUGGGAUUCAUCAUGUGCAGGCUCAGGUGAUGGAGGCGCUUCAAUGAUGGGUUCACAAUUGUUGGUUGCUUCUGAAAAUGGAUUGGCAUCGAUAUGAAGUACUGAUGCUGAAUUCAUCGCCUGUGUAUUGCCUUCAAAACUUUUUUCCGGGGCCAUUGUGCUUACUAUUCCUUUUUCUUGCGGUCCAGGUAAGGCCAACCUUGCACUAUUUUAAUUUAUAGGAACUCAGCUAGAGAAGACAAUCGUGAAAUCUCUAUAUUUUUCACACAAACUCACAACACAUGGCUUCCAUUAAUUGCUUUUUACUCGUUUUGAACUUUUUCACCACAAAAUCAACAUUUUGACAUGGACAAAGAAAAAUGUAAUGUCAGAACGGUUACAAAAGAAAACAAGAAUGAGUUUUCGAUCCUUCCAAAUAUCUUUUUAUGCACAACAAUAUAUAUAAAUGUGCUUUGUUUAUGACAUAAAAUUCAUACCUUGCAUAUGCACUAGCGUAAUGCCGACAAUCUGCCCUUAGUGGACAAGCAUUGCAGUUAGGUUUCCUCUUUGUGCAAAAGACCUGCAGAUAGAUAAAUGUUCAAGGUUACCGAACUUUUCUUUAUGAAUGAGAAUUUAAAUAACCGGUGCCUUCGUUGCCGGCAGCCAUAGCUCAUUUUCACUAACAAGCACAACUCCAACACUUUCAAUAGAGAAACCUCAUGUAUGAAGGUUUGGAGAAAGAAUGACGAAAUUGAAUUUGGGUUUGAGAGUUCUUUUCGAAACAACAACUUCUGGAGAAGGACUUGUAGAAAACGGCCGUCGGGGAUGAUGGGUUCCGGCGACCUGACCGGCUGGGUUAGGGAGAAAGAGAGAGAUUAAAUAUUUUUUUAAAAAAACUAGUAUUUUAAUUGUUGUUAUUCCAUUUCUAAUAAUAAAAUUAGAGAUGUUUUAAACUAA